CCUUGAAGAUCGGAGUGCUUGCACUCUGUGAAACAAGAUACAGGCUAGCGGCGGACGGGUGAGUAACACGUGGGUAACCUGCCCAAGAGAUCGGGAUAACACCUGGAAACAGAUGCUAAUACCGGAUAACAACAGAUGAUGCCUAUCAACUGUUUAAAAGAUGGUUCUGCUAUCACUCUUGGAUGGACCUGCGGUGCAUUAGCUAGUUGGUAGGGUAACGGCCUACCAAGGCGAUGAUGCAUAGCCGAGUUGAGAGACUGAUCGGCCACAUUGGGACUGAGACACGGCCCAAACUCCUACGGGAGGCAGCAGUAGGGAAUCUUCCACAAUGGACGCAAGUCUGAUGGAGCAACGCCGCGUGAGUGAAGAAGGGUUUCGGCUCGUAAAGCUCUGUUGUUGGUGAAGAAGGACAGGGGUAGUAACUGACCUUUGUUUGACGGUAAUCAAUUAGAAAGUCACGGCUAACUACGUGCCAGCAGCCGCGGUAAUACGUAGGUGGCAAGCGUUGUCCGGAUUUAUUGGGCGUAAAGCGAGUGCAGGCGGCUCGAUAAGUCUGAUGUGAAAGCCUUCGGCUCAACCGGAGAAUUGCAUCAGAAACUGUCGAGCUUGAGUACAGAAGAGGAGAGUGGAACUCCAUGUGUAGCGGUGAAAUGCGUAGAUAUAUGGAAGAACACCGGUGGCGAAGGCGGCUCUCUGGUCUGUUACUGACGCUGAGGCUCGAAAGCAUGGGUAGCGAACAGGAUUAGAUACCCUGGUAGUCCAUGCCGUAAACGAUGAGUGC
rnacentral:rRNA from 1 species